rnacentral:rRNA from 1 species
GCCUACGGGAGGCAGCAGUGGGGAAUAUUGCACAAUGGGGGAAACCCUGAUGCAGCGACGCCGCGUGAAGGAAGAAGUAUUUCGGUAUGUAAACUUCUAUCAGCAGGGAAGAAAAUGACGGUACCUGACUAAGAAGCCCCGGCUAACUACGUGCCAGCAGCCGCGGUAAUACGGAGGAUGCGAGCGUUAUCCGGAUUUAUUGGGUUUAAAGGGUGCGCAGGCGGAGGCACAAGUCAGCGGUAAAAUCGCGGGGCUCAACCCCGCUCCGCCGUUGAAACUGUGUCCCUUGAGUGCGCGAAGGGUAG